rnacentral:tRNA from 1 species
GAGUAGCUCAACUGGUAGAGCAACGGUCUCCAAAACCGUAGGUUGUGGGUUCAAGUCCUGCCUC